rnacentral:rRNA from 1 species
AGUGAACGCUGGCGGUAGGCCUAACACAUGCAAGUCGAACGGCAGCACAGUAAGAGCUUGCUCUUACGGGUGGCGAGUGGCGGACGGGUGAGGAAUACAUCGGAAUCUACUUUUUCGUGGGGGAUAACGUAGGGAAACUACGCUAAUACCGCAUACGACCUACGGGUGAAAGCAGGGGAUCUUCGGACCUUGCGCGAUUGAAUGAGCCGAUGUCGGAUUAGCUAGUUGGCGGGGUAAGGGCCCACCAAGGCGACGAUCCGUAGCUGGUCUGAGAGGAUGAUCAGCCACACUGGAACUGAGACACGGUCCAGACUCCUACGGGAGGCAGCAGUGGGGAAUAUUGGACAAUGGGCGCAAGCCUGAUCCAGCCAUACCGCGUGGGUGAAGAAGGCCUUCGGGUUGUAAAGCCCUUUUGUUGGGAAAGAAAAGCAGCAGGUUAAUACCCCGCUGUUCUGACGGUACCCAAAGAAUAAGCACCGGCUAACUUCGUG